CUUUUCACCUAUAACGCCCCCAACUUCAACCUAACUCUAACAUUCUUUUCACCUAUAACGCAUGCAACAACCUAAUUGCAACACUAAUCCAUUAUAAUUUAUGUAAACCAAUAGAAGAAUAGACAUUAAUUAUCUGGAUAUCCGUCUUCUUGAUAGAUGCCGAAGAAACAGAAUUAUACACUUUUGUGUAUAAAGUGAGAGAGGCGAGCGAGAAUGGAUAGUGGCGAGCGAAAUUGUUGGGAGAGAGACGCCUGACAAACUUUAGUAUUAUGCACGAAGCCACGAACAAACAAAUAAAAAUAAAAUAAUGCAGAGGAAGAAAAGCUACACAAACAAGAAAAAGAGAGGAAAAAGAACGGCCAAACUUCAUGAUUCAUAUAGAUUGCACUGAUUUGGAAGCCUAACAAAAGGAGAAGGCUCAAGUUUCGGAGUAAUUUUUCAAUGAAUUGAGGCAAAUGAAUUUCUACGCUUUUGUUAAGGAUAUGGAAUGUGUGUAUUCCCUUGUGGUGUAUGUAUAGAAGUAAUGGGAGUUGGUGAUGGGUUGACUUGUCCACAUCAAUAAAUUCUAAUGAUGAAAAGGGAUAAUAAAUGACAAUGUGAUUAUUUAUUGUUUGUGAUGUGUUGAGAAUGGUACGAGUACCGGUAUUAUAAUGGGAAAGUCUAUUACUAUAGAAUGAAUAUUGUAAUCCGAGAAUGCCAAAGUAUAUGGGCAUUAACCGAUAUAUUAUUGGUUUGAUUUAUUAUGUGUGAUUGUUUUAUUUACUGAACUAGUAUGAAUGUGAUAAUUGAGGUGAUUAUAUGUUA